CACGUCAACGCGCUUUGCUGACGUGGCAACAAAUUGCGUCCACUAGGGGUGAUUUGUUGCCACGUCAUCAAAGCGCGCUGACGUGG
rfam:Gossypium raimondii Chr01_contig_1228, whole genome shotgun sequence.